GAUGAACGCUGGCGGCGUGCCUAAUACAUGCAAGUCGAGCGAACGGACGAGAAGCUUGCUUCUCUGAUGUUAGCGGCGGACGGGUGAGUAACACGUGGAUAACCUACCUAUAAGACUGGGAUAACUUCGGGAAACCGGAGCUAAUACCGGAUAAUAUUUUGAACCGCAUGGUUCAAAAGUGAAAGACGGUCUUGCUGUCACUUAUAGCUGGAUCCGCGCUGCAUUAGCUAGUUGGUAAGGUAACGGCUUACCAAGGCAACGAUGCAUAGCCGACCUGAGAGGGUGAUCAGCCACACUGGAACUGAGACACGGUCCAGACUCCUACGGGAGGCAGCAGUAGGGAAUCUUCCGCAAUGGGCGAAAGCCUGACGGAGCAACGCCGCGUGAGUGAUGAAGGUCUUCGGAUCGUAAAACUCUGUUAUUAGGGAAGAACAUAUGUGUAAUUAACUGUGCACAUCUUGACGGUACCUAAUCAGAAAGCCACGGCUAAUUACGUG
rnacentral:rRNA from 1 species